ACAACAGUAUAAACAUGUAUACUUGUUAAAGCAAGAGAAACCAGCUAGGUAAAUUCAUCAUAACACUCUUGUGUAAAUCGUACAACCUAUAAGGGUUUCCAUAGGACAAUGCACAUGCUCAGAAGCUGACUGUUUGGUAUUUUAUUUUGAAAUUGUAACCUCAUGUCAUGUGACCAAAAUUCGGCCAGGUAGACGGACCGUGGAAUUGUGGGAGCCAGCAGGGACGCCGAAGAGGAAACACGUACCAAAGACGCCAAGAUGCGCACAUGGUCUUCCCUACAUUUCUGAGCUUGAGGACCAGACAUUGCAUUUGUUUGUGGCUCUUCAGUAGUGGCAGCGGUACCAGGAAGUAUUUCCAGGCGAGAGACUCUUGCCCAAACACCACUUUCUGGAGCACUACCCAGAAAUUCUGAAGCGGUUUGGCCCCAUUGAAAAUUUUUGGACAGUGCCUUUGAGGUGACACAUGUCUCGUCAGUUCCUGUCAGGAAAGAGGAUGCAGUGCUUCAUCAACAACAAAAAUAUCCUGAUCUCACAAUAGUUACUUUAACACAGUGUCUCCACAAUAUAGAAAUGGAAUGAUUAUUGUGCAUGGAUCAGUAGGUGGAUUGCCUGAAUUUGUGAAGAUACUUCAAAUGUGUAUAUUGGAAAAUACAUUGAUCUUCAUUGGUGAUGAGUGAUGGACUGUACUUCUGAACUCUGUGAGUUAUUGAA